rnacentral:rRNA from 1 species
GAUGAACGCUGGCGGCGUGCUUAACACAUGCAAGUCGAACGGUGAGGGCGGAUUUUGCUGUGCUGGAGCAGUGGCAAACGGGUGAGUAACCCGUGAGCAAUCUGCCCCUGACUCUGGGAUAAGCGCGGGAAACGGCGUCUAAUACUGGAUACGAGCUGCGAAGCCAUCUUCGGCAGCUGGAAAGAAUUUCGGUCGGGGAUGAGCUCGCGGCUUAUCAGCUUGUUGGUGGGGUAAUGGCUCACCAAGGCGUCGACGGGUAGCCGGCCUGAGAGGGUGACCGGCCACACUGGGACUGAGACACGGCCCAGACUCCUACGGGAGGCAGCAGUGGGGAAUAUUGCACAAUGGGCGGAAGCCUGAUGCAGCAACGCCGCGUGAGGGACGACGGCCUUCGGGUUGUAAACCUCUUUUGGCAGGGAAGAAGCGAAAGUGACGGUACCUGCAGAAAAAGCACCGGCUAACUACGUG